UUUUUUAAGCUUCUGCCUACUUGGUUGGUAUUCCCCUUGCAUUAUGGUUAGCCAAGCCCAAUUUCCUGUUCUGUUAAUUGCUGUCAUUCAGAACCACCAUGUUACCUAGUAGAAAUCUCUUUCCCCCUGCUACCUCUUCCUGACACUCUUUCCUUUCCAUAUCAAUGCAACCCCCAUCCCUACCUCUAGCCAUUUCUCUUUUUCCCCUCCACUGUGCCCUUUGGAACAUCUGCCAUUGGUAACCCAGUACCAUUUGACCUGUAUUUCUUAUACGCACCUACCAGUAAUUGAAAUCUGAUUUUGUCCCAUAUACACUAUCCGUUGCCAACCUUUCUAAUCUUGGGCACUCCUCUUUGGGCUACACUGCUCCCUACCAACCACCCAACUCAUAGUACUAGGAGGAAUGGUUGGCAUGUGAUGCUACCACUAGAUUCACUUUUCUACCAUCAUUCAACCUUUCUUCUUGAACUUCAUUAGAUCCAAUUGUAUGACUGCCUUGCUCGUUGUUGCUAUCUAUAGAUCUCACCUCCACAUCAUCCUCCCACUCCUAUCAGUCACUCAGUAAGCCUUUAUUAAGUGCCUACUGUGUGUCAGGCACUAAGUUCUAGGUAUACAAAGAAUGUCAGAAGUCAGUUCCUGCUCUCAAGGAGCUCACAGUCUAAUGAAGGAGAUAAUAUGAACACAACUAUGUACAAACAAGGAUAAAUUGGAGAUAAUCAGUAGAGGGAAGGCACUAGCAUUUAUAUAUAUAUAUAUAACCUGUUUCUAUAUGUUUAGAGCAUAGAUCAUUCUAUAUGUUUAUCUGCUUCACCAGUAUGGCACACUCCUUUUUAUUUACAGUAUAUAUCACAGGGCUAUGUGUGUGUGUGCAUACUUAUGCCCUCAAAUAAACUAAUUCAGAUGACUAAUGGCUUCAGUAAAGUAACAGUAAAAUCAACAAUAAUUGCCAACAUUUCUAUGUAACAAUAAUAAAAGUCAGGGGGGAAUGAUAGAAUGAGAAACA
rnacentral:lncRNA from 1 species